rnacentral:rRNA from 1 species
UCAGGAUGAACGCUGGCGGCGUGCUUAACACAUGCAAGUCGAACGAUGACCUCCAGCUUGCUGGGGUGAUUAGUGGCGAACGGGUGAGUAACACGUGAGUAACCUGCCCUUAACUCUGGGAUAAGCCUGGGAAACUGGGUCUAAUACCGGAUAUGACUCCUCAUCGCAUGGUGGGGGGUGGAAAGCUUUUUGUGGUUUUGGAUGGACUCGCGGCCUAUCAGCUUGUUGGUGAGGUAAUGGCUCACCAAGGCGACGACGGGUAGCCGGCCUGAGAGGGUGACCGGCCACACUGGGACUGAGACACGGCCCAGACUCCUACGGGAGGCAGCAGUGGGGAAUAUUGCACAAUGGGCGAAAGCCUGAUGCAGCGACGCCGCGUGAGGGAUGACGGCCUUCGGGUUGUAAACCUCUUUCAGUAGGGAAGAAGCGAAAGUGACGGUAC